rnacentral:rRNA from 1 species
GAUCCUGGCUCAGGAUGAACGCUGGCGGCGUGCCUAAUACAUGCAAGUCGAGCGAACUGAUUAAAAGCUUGCUUCUAUGACGUUAGCGGCGGACGGGUGAGUAACACGUGGGCAACCUGCCUGUAAGACUGGGAUAACUCCGGGAAACCGGAGCUAAUACCGGAUAACAUUUUCUCUUGCAUAAAAGAAAAUUGAAAGAUGGUUUCGGCUAUCACUUACAGAUGGGCCCGCGGUGCAUUAGCUAGUUGGUGAGGUAACGGCUCACCAAGGCAACGAUGCAUAGCCGACCUGAGAGGGUGAUCGGCCACACUGGGACUGAGACACGGCCCAGACUCCUACGGGAGGCAGCAGUAGGGAAUCUUCCGCAAUGGACGAAAGUCUGACGGAGCAACGCCGCGUGAGUGAUGAAGGCUUUCGGGUCGUAAAACUCUGUUGUUAGGGAAGAACAAGUACAAGAGUAACUGCUUGUACCUUGACGGUACCUAACCAGAAAGCCACGGCUAACUACGUGCCAGCAGCCGCGGUAAUACGUAGGUGGCAAGCGUUAUCCGGAAUUAUUGGGCGUAAAGCGCGCGCAGGCGGUUUCUUAAUUCUGAUGUGAAAGCCCACGGCUCAACCGUGGAGGGUCAUUGGAAACUGGGGAACUUGAGUGCAGAAUAGAAAAGCGGAAUUCCGCGUGUAGCGGUGAAAUGCGUAGAGAUGUGGAGGAACACCAGUGGCGAACGCGGCUUUUUCGUCAGUAACUGACGCUCAGGAGCGUAAGCGUAGGGAGCAAACAGGAUUAGAUACCCUGGUAGUCCACGCCGUAAACGAUGAGUGCUAAGUGUUAGAGGGUUUCCGCCCUUUAGUGCUGCAGCUAACGCAUUAAGCACUCCGCCUGGGGAGUACGGUCGCAAGACUGAAACUCAAAGGAAUUGACGGGGGCCCGCACAAGCGGUGGAGCAUGUGGUUUAAUUCGAAGCAACGCGAAGAACCUUACCAGGUCUUGACAUCCUCUGACAACUCUAGAGAUAGAGCGUUCCCCUUCGGGGGACAGAGUGACAGGUGGUGCAUGGUUGUCGUCAGCUCGUGUCGUGAGAUGUUGGGUUAAGUCCCGCAACGAGCGCAACCCUUGAUCUUAGUUGCCAGCAUUUAGUUGGGCACUCUAAGGUGACUGCCGGUGACAAACCGGAGGAAGGUGGGGAUGACGUCAAAUCAUCAUGCCCCUUAUGACCUGGGCUACACACGUGCUACAAUGGAUGGUACAAAGGGCUGCAAGACCGCGAGGU